rnacentral:rRNA from 1 species
AUUGAACGCUGGCGGCAUGCCUUACACAUGCAAGUCGAACGGCAGCACGGGAGCAAUCCUGGUGGCGAGUGGCGAACGGGUGAGUAAUAUAUCGGAACGUGCCCAGUCGUGGGGAUAACGUAGCGAAAGCUACGCUAAUACCGCAUACGAUCUAUGGAUGAAAGCGGGGGAUCGCAAGACCUCGCGCGAUUGGAGCGGCCGAUAUCAGAUUAGGUAGUUGGUGAGGUAAAGGCUCACCAAGCCGACGAUCUGUAGCUGGUCUGAGAGGACGACAGCCACACUGGGACUGAGACACGGCCCAGACUCCUACGGAGGCAGCAGUGGGGAAUUUUGGACAAUGGGUCGCAAGCCUGA